rnacentral:rRNA from 1 species
AUUGAACGCUAGCGGGAUGCUUUACACAUGCAAGUCGAACGGCAGCGCGGACUUCGGUCUGGCGGCGAGUGGCGAACGGGUGAGUAAUGUAUCGGAACGUGCCCAGUAGCGGGGGAUAACUACGCGAAAGCGUAGCUAAUACCGCAUACGCCCUACGGGGGAAAGCAGGGGAUCGUAAGACCUUGCACUAUUGGAGCGGCCGAUACCGGAUUAGCUAGUUGGUGAGGUAACGGCUCACCAAGGCGACGAUCCGUAGCUGGUUUGAGAGGACGACCAGCCACACUGGGACUGAGACACGGCCCAGACUCCUACGGGAGGCAGCAGUGGGGAAUUUUGGACAAUGGGGGCAACCCUGAUCCAGCCAUCCCGCGUGUGCGAUGAAGGCCUUCGGGUUGUAAAGCACUUUUGGCAGGAAAGAAACGUCGCGGGCUAAUACCCCGUGGAACUGACGGUACCUGCAGAAUAAGCACCGGCUAACUACGUG